rnacentral:rRNA from 1 species
CGCGUAGGCGGCCUGCUAAGUCUGGAGUGAAAGUCCUGCUUUCAAGGUGGGAAUUGCUUUGGAUACUGGUGGGCUGGAGUGCAGGAGAGGAAAGCGGAAUUACCGGUGUAGCGGUGAAAUGCGUAGAGAUCGGUAGGAACACUAGUGGCGAAGGCGGCUUUCUGGACUGAAACUGACGCUGAGGCGCGAAAGCGUGGGAGCAAACA